AGGGAAUCUUCCACAAUGGACGCAAGUCUGAUGGAGCAACGCCGCGUGAGUGAAGAAGGUCUUCGGAUCGUAAAGCUCUGUUGUUGGUGAAGAAGGAUAGAGGCAGUAACUGGUCUUUAUUUGACGGUAAUCAACCAGAAAGUCACGGCUAACUACGUGCCAGCAGCCGCGGUAAUACGUAGGUGGCAAGCGUUGUCCGGAUUUAUUGGGCGUAAAGCGAGCGCAGGCGGAAUGAUAAGUCUGAUGUGAAAGCCCACGGCUCAACCGUGGAACUGCAUCGGAAACUGUCAUUCUUGAGUGCAGAAGAGGAGAGUGGAACUCCAUGUGUAGCGGUGGAAUGCGUAGAUAUAUGGAAGAACACCAGUGGCGAAGGCGGCUCUCUGGUCUGCAACUGACGCUGAGGCUCGAAAGCAUGGGUAGCGAACAGGAUUAGAUACCCUGGUAGUCCAUGCCGUAAACGAUGAGCGCUAGGUGUUGGGGACUUUCCGGUCCUCAGUGCCGCAGC
rnacentral:rRNA from 1 species